rnacentral:rRNA from 1 species
CCUACGGGAGGCAGCAGUGGGGAAUAUUGCGCAAUGGGCGAAAGCCUGACGCAGCGACGCCGCGUGAGGGAUGAAGGUCUUCGGAUCGUAAACCUCUGUCAGCAGUGAAGAACGGUCACUGUGCUAAUCAGCAGUGACUUGACGGUACCUGCAAAGGAAGCACCGGCUAACUCCGUGCCAGCAGCCGCGGUAAUACGGAGGGUGCGAGCGUUAAUCGGAAUUACUGGGCGUAAAGCGCGAGUAGGCGGUAUGUCAAGUCAAGGGUGAAAUCCCCGCGCUCAACGUGGGAACUGCCUUUGAAACGGGCAAACUGGAGUGUGGGAGGGGAUAGUGGAAUUCCAGGUGUAGGAGUGAAAUCCGUAGAUAUCUGGAGGAAAAUCAGUGGCGAAGGCGACUAUCUGGCACAUAACUGACGCUGAGGAGCGAAAGCGUGGGUAGCAAACAGGAUUAGAUACCCGGGUAGUC